UAGUAACUGCGAGUGAAGAGGGAAAAGCUCAAAUUUUGAAUCUGGCGGUCGUGAUGGCCGUCCGAGUUGUAAUCUAGAGAAGCGUCUUCUAGCGCUGAGCCGUGUACAAGUCUCCUGGAAGGGAGCGUCAUAGAGGGUGAGAAUCCCGUCUUUGACACGGAGAAUCAGUGCGAUGUGAUGCGCUCUCGACGAGUCGAGUUGUUUGGGAAUGCAGCUCAAAUAGGGUGGUAAAUUCCAUCUAAAGCUAAAUACUGGCGAGAGACCGAUAGCGAACAAGUACCGUGAGGGAAAGAUGAAAAGAACUUUGGAAAGAGAGUUAAACAGUACGUGAAAUUGCUGAAAGGGAAACGCUCGAGGUCAGUCGCGUCCGCCAGGGAUCAACCUUGCUUCUUCGCUCGGUGCAUUUCUUGGUCGGACGGGUCAGCAUCAGUUUCGAUCGUCGUAGAACGGUCGAGGGAACGUGGCACCUCUCGAGGUGUGUUAUAGCCCUCGAUCUUAUGCGUCGGAAGGGACUGAGGAACUCGACAC
rnacentral:rRNA from 1 species